rnacentral:lncRNA from 1 species
AUGAAAAUUGCCAAGAUGGUAGCCCCUCCUGCAGGUAUGAAGCCUGCCAAAUUUCAAGGAGAUAAGUGCAGAGGUUUCUGUGAAACUGCACCUCAAACUGUUCAAACCAAAAGUCCCGACACUUGCUGGAAGCAGCAGCCUCCUGUCAUCUGGCAUGCAGAUCUGGGGGCUCACAGCCCAGGGAAGGCUGUGGGGCUGUGCCUGAGUCCUCCUGGGGGUGGGAGCCCCUGGUUCUGCAUGCCGGAUGACAGGAGGCUGCCACUGCUGGGACUGGCAGCAGCAAUCUUCCCUGGCACUGGGCACAGACAUCAGCCUGAGCUGCCUUUCAUCUGGCACAAAUCCUGGGGCUCACACCCCUGGGAGGUCCACAGGGCUAUGCUGGGCUUCUCCCAGGGGUGCAACCCCCUCAUCUGCAUGCUGUAUGACAGGAGGCUGCCCCUGAUCAGCGGUAGCAGCAAUCUUCCCCAGCACUGGGCGUGGACUGUGCCCAGCACAGAUCCAGGGGCUCGCACCCCCAGAAGGAGUCUGGCACAAUACAGCAGCCCUCCUGGGGGUGCAAGUCCUGGGAUCUGUGCUUUGGGGAGAGGAAGCUCAGCCAGCUUGUCACACCAGGGAAAGGCAUCCUCCGCCUGCCUCCCUGCUCAGCUGCAGUCCCCCCCGCCACAGCACCUUACCAGCAUCAGCAGCCAUGCUCUUGCCCCCCUGCAUGGUGGGGUGCAGCGUGGCUCAGCCCCAGCCACUGGGUGUCUGCCACCUCUGCCACAGCGCACUGCUGCUGUGUGGCUCUGUGUAGGGCCAUGUGCUUUCAGGGAGCUCUGGGCUGUCAGCUGGGGCUGCGCGCCACUCAUGGGGACAGCUGACCAAACAGGCUGGGGUCCUGUGUGCGCAGAUGCAGUGUGCAGGCCUCAUGCAUGCAGGACCCAGGCCAGUGUGGCCAGUGGUCCCUGCAGAUGGUGUGCAGCCCCAAGUGACAGCCCAGAGCUGCCUGAAAGCACAGGGCCCUUCACCAAGCAGGGUAGCAGCAGUGCGCUGUGGCAGAUACCUGGAGGCUGGGGCAAGCGACGCUGCCCCCCCAGCUGUGCAGAGGCCCAGGAGCACAGCUGCUGGUGCUGGUAA